rnacentral:rRNA from 1 species
AUUGAACGCUGGCGGCAGGCUUAACACAUGCAAGUCGAGCGGGGGAAGGUAGCUUGCUACCGGACCUAGCGGCGGACGGGUGAGUAAUGCUUAGGAAUCUGCCUAUUAGUGGGGGACAACAUCUCGAAAGGGAUGCUAAUACCGCAUACGUCCUACGGGAGAAAGCAGGGGAUCUUCGGACCUUGCGCUAAUAGAUGCGCCUAAGUCAGAUUAGCUAGUUGGUGGGGAAAAGGCCUACCAAGGCGACGAUCUGUAGCGGGUCUGAGAGGAUGAUCCGCCACACUGGGACUGAGACACGGCCCAGACUCCUACGGGAGGCAGCAGUGGGGAAUAUUGGACAAUGGGGGGAACCCUGAUCCAGCCAUGCCGCGUGUGUGAAGAAGGCCUUAUGGUUGUAAAGCACUUUAAGCGAGGAGGAGGCUACUUUAGUUAAUACCUAGAGAUAGUGGACGUUACUCGCAGAAUAAGCACCGGCUAACUCUGUGCCAGCAGCCGCGGUAA